rnacentral:lncRNA from 1 species
AAAAAAAUAAUGAUUGCUAAUCAUUGAUUGGACACUGUAUUAGUUCAUUCUUCCUUGCUCUUAUCUUCUUCCACCUUUUUCCUCCGAAGUGCUUUAUCUGAUUGCUUUCACUUUUGCUUUUUCAUUCCCAUACCAAAGUGCUUUGCUUUACCUGAUUGGUUUCACUUUUGCAUUCUCAUUCACAUACCAAAUUUAGAAGCUCCUACGUUCCACCUUAUCCUCCAAAACCAAUCAACAUGGCAGAAUCACUCCUCUUUGGCGUGGCAGAGUCAUUCAUUGGAAAACUUGCAUCCGUUG